ensembl:lncRNA
GAGACAUUGUGCAAACGGUCUUUGAUCUUUUGACGAGGUUUUCGGGCACUCCGGACCACUUGUCUGAACAUGGAGGCCAGUCCAGCCCAGCACUUCCUGAGACUGUAGUUGCUAAAACAGGAUCGGUAAAAAAGACAAAAGCGCGAGGUGUCAGAGUUGAUGUUCUAUCCAAGAGGGUUUUAAGCUUCACUGGUGAGAGUGUCCAGGUGAUACAUGUUGAGGGAAGAUGAGAACAUAGCAGGUUAAUUGCAUGCACGCUUACAAACACACAUGAUUUAAAUAUAGGCCAGGCCGAAGGCCUGGACUUUAUGUAGCUUUUAACUUUACAGCUCCUAACUUGCAGGAAUGGCGUGGAGUGUAAUGAAUGAAUGCAAAAUAUGCUUACAGACACAAACAUGAUAUAGAUUUAUUUUACAGGGUAAAGGUGAAACACAUGUUGCUUUGUUUCUGCUUAGCAACUAAUGAGGUAAAAGGUGUUAAAGAUGAAUAUAUGCAAUAAGUGAACAGGAAACGUGUGAGGGUGAGCCAGGUGAAACAAAAUGUUG